rnacentral:tRNA from 1 species
GAGGGUAUAGCUCAGUGGUAGAGCAUGUGCUUAGCAUGCAGGAGGUCCUGGGUUCAGUCCCCAGUACCUCCA